AUUGAACGCUGGCGGCAUGCUCAACACAUGCAAGUCGAACGGCAGCAUGGUCUGGCUUGCUAGACUGAUGGCGAGUGGCGAACGGGUGAGUAACGCGUAGGAAUAUACCUUAGAGAGGGGGAUAACAUGGGGAAACUCAUGCUAAUACCGCAUACGUUCUAUGGAAUAAAGCUGGGGACCUUAUGGCCUGGCGCUUUAAGAAUAGCCUGCGUCCGAUUAGCUAGUUGGUAGGGUAAAGGCCUACCAAGGCGACGAUCGGUAGCUGGUCUGAGAGGAUGAUCAGCCACACUGGGACUGAGACACGGCCCAGACUCCUACGGGAGGCAGCAGUGGGGAAUAUUGGACAAUGGGGGGAACCCUGAUCCAGCAAUGCCGCGUGUGUGAAGAAGGCCUGAGGGUUGUAAAGUACUUUCAGUGGGGAGGAGGAUUGACGGGUUAAGAGCUAGUUAAUUGGACGUUACCCACAGAAGAAGCACCGGCUAACUCCGUGCCAGCAGCCGCCGCGG
rnacentral:rRNA from 1 species